rnacentral:sRNA from 1 species
UGGGCAUUGCUGCACUAAGGAGAGUCUUAACAGCUUAUGCUUUUCGAAAUCCCAACAUAGGGUAUUGCCAGGCCAUGAAUAUUGUCACUUCAGUGCUGCUGCUUUAUGCCAAAGAGGAGGAAGCUUUCUGGCUGCUUGUGGCUUUGUGUGAGCGCAUGCUCCCAGAUUACUACAACACCAGAGUUGUGGGUAAGUGGAGAUGCAUUUAACAUUUCAACCUAUGUCUCAUCAAGAAGAUGCUUUUAGAGAGGUGCCAGCCAGAACACUAUUUCUGGUCACCAUAAGCCAAAAGAGUUUCAGACUACUCCAGUUUUUCAAAAUGGAAAUAAGAGAGGUUGAAUAAAUAUAGGUUGUAUACAA